AUUGAACGCUGGCGGAAUGCUUUACACAUGCAAGUCGAACGGCAGCACGGACUUCGGUCUGGUGGCGAGUGGCGAACGGGUGAGUAAUGUAUCGGAACGUGCCCAGUCGUGUGGGAUAACGUAGUGAAAAUUACGCUAAUACCGCAUACGAUCUAUGGAUAAAAGCGGGGGAUCGCAAGACCUCGCGCGAUUGGAGCGGCCGAUAUCAGAUUAGGUAGUUGGUGGGGUAAAGGCCCACCAAGCCAACGAUCUGUAGCUGGUCUGAGAGGACGACCAGCCACACUGGAACUGAGACACGGUCCAGACUCCUACGGGAGGCAGCAGUGGGGAAUUUUGGACAAUGGGCGAAAGCCUGAUCCAGCCAUUCCGCGUGCAGGAUGAAGGCCCUCGGGUUGUAAACUGCUUUUGUACAGAACGAAAAGGUUUCUACUAAUACUAGGAGCUCAUGACGGUACUGUAAGAAUAAGCACCGGCUAACUACGUGCCAGCAGCCGCCGUAA
rnacentral:rRNA from 1 species